ACAGUAAGGCUCAUGUCCUCCUCGCCGUGGCAGCUCUUUCAAGUUCUAGGAAGGAGGUUUCAUGUCUCAUACCUCAGGAUGCAUGUGGCUGUUUCUUCGGCUGCACAUGGCUGUUUCCUGGGUGGAUAACACUCUGCUUUGGGGCCUGCUGAGGGUGCAGUGAGUUGUGGUGUUCUGGAAAAGUGUGCACCGUAGGUUCCUGAAAGUCAGGCCAGGCCUAGGUUCAAAGCUCAGCUUCUCCUCUCAUUAGCUGUGGAGCAGCACCUACUUCAGAAGAAAUUUGUUAGAAUUAUAUACGAUUUCUAACAUAGGCUGCCACAACUUACCUAGCAUAUAUAUUAUAGCUUCACCAUGUAAAUGGCUAUACCAAAUACAUUUUUAGAAAAGACUCAAAUCAUGGCUAUUGGUUAUUGAUUUGAAAAGAAUUGUGUUCUAAAAAACUCUAUAUAAACUAUAAAGCUGUAGGCAUUAAGUAGAUAUAUAUCACUAUUAUUUCUUGUUAUGAGGCAAGUAAUGGUUUUAUACUAGACCCAGUUCAUUGGGUUAGCAUUUUGCUUGUCCUUUCGGCAUGUCUCUGAUUCUUUUUUCACUGAAUGACACUUAGCAGUUUACACAAAGUGCUUUUCACUUAUAUUAUCUCACUUCGUCCUUAGAGCAAACCUAUCAGGUAGAUGCUCUAAUUAUCCCCAUAUUACAAAUGAAGAAGACCGAGGCUACUACACAGAAAAUGGUUGCCUCCAGGCCACGUGGGAUUUAUGCUUCUGAAAUCUGUUGGUUUUUGUUGUUGUUGUUUAUCUGACAAAUCCCCUGCCAACCCUCCACAGAACUGUUGUGGUGAUUAAAUCACAGAGGUCGCUGUGCCUUUGAGGUAGGAGACUGGAAGCUUGCCUCUGCUGUAUCACCUUGGCCAUGUGAAAAAUGCCACAGUGGGGUGUGGGUUUGGGAACCAAGGGUAUGGAGCAGAGGAAACCAAGACAACUUGGCUUGAAUCCCGGCUCUGCCAACUCAGACAAGUCACCUAACCUCUCCCAAACUUCAUUUCCAGUCACUUACCAUCUCUGAUUCUUAGCUUCUAGAUACAUUGA
rnacentral:lncRNA from 10 species